CGUCCAUCGCGGGUGCACGUGACUCUAGCCCCGCCCCCUUCCCGUCAUCCUUUCUGCUCGCGCCGGGACGUUCACUCAGGGCGUCAGACGCCGGGGCGUGCUGUUCCAGCCGGUGCGGGCCGCUGGCUGUGUCCGCCUGAGCUGAGGUGCCUGGCAGUGCUGGCCCAUCACAGAUGCUCAGUCAUCAGUUAUUGAUACCUGAGUCCACCAGCCAGGCCGUCGUUUGCCUGAGGAAAUCCAGUCCCUGAGAUGAAGGCGGCAGCUUCUGUUUACGUAUGACCCUACAGCUGCUCUGCACCCUGACCCAGGAUAUCCCUGCAACCUAUGCAAACUGAGGUCCAGCCCUGCUGCUGGCCCAUCCAGGCCCCGGGGAAGGAACCCUCAUCCUGGCUGCCCUCACCGUGGCCUGUCCAGAUGCAGGAGCUCCUCUCUGAAUCUGGGGCUACUGGCAGCCCCUCAGCCAGUGGGCAGCACACAGCCACCCAAACACAAGAGGCCAGGACCAUGGACACCAGGGGGCACAGAGCCCAGGCCUCCGUGAUCCUAGGAACGUGCAGCAUCCGGGACAUGCAGAGGAAAGAUGGAGACGUGGGGUGAGAGGAAGCUGAGCAGGGACGCAGGCCCCCCUCGCAUCACAGGCCUGCCUGGCCAGAACGACCUGCAGCAAGAAGCCAACCCAGCUGCUCCUGUCCCUGAAAAGCCCGGAGAGAGGGCUAGCAGGGAGGCUGGUGCCUGGGUCAAGAGAGGGGCUACUCAGUUCUUCCAGAACGUUCCAGCGUGGCCCAUGGACGCCAGUCUUCUGGUGUCCAUUCCGUCCUGUGUCACUUCAGUUGAUGGGCUGCUUGAGACCAGAACCGCCCGAAUCCAGAACCGCCCACUACCUUCUGUGAGGCUGUGGCCAGAAAGCGAGCCAGACCUCUGAAGCUGCCUGGGCCCGUCCUGACCCAGGAGAGUCUGGCUGUGAAGGAGGGUAAAGGAGGAAGCCAGGCCUGGCACAGGGACAGGGUGGGGACCCAGUGAGAUCUCCAGGGAGGAAGCCAGGGCUCCCACACUGGGGCUGCUGUUCUCCAGGAGGAACUCCACCCAAGGAGAGUUUGGGAUUGUCAUGAGAGACAGGACUGUGUUUGUGCACAGUGCAGAGCAUCAGGUACCAGCCGGGGGCCUCAGGCCCCAGGGAAGAGAGUCACCCACCAGGCCAACUAGGAAAGGUGAAAGGUGAAAGGUGAGUGCCCCUACGGCAGAAAGCAAAGCUGAGACAGCAUCGCCAGCUGAGGGAGAAACUGACAGAUGGCAGUUCACCAAAACCCAGAAACUGGUCAUUCUCUGGCCUUUAACAAACCAAAGUGUAUUUCUCUCUCUGAAAUAAGAAACACAGGACAAUUAUUAAGUUCCAAAA